GGGGAUGUAGCUCAAUAGAUAGAGUGUUUGCCUCGCAUGCACAAGGCCCUGGGUUCAGACCCCAGCACCACCA
rnacentral:tRNA from 1 species